CGUGUGUGUGUGUGUCCGGGCGGCUCCGGGGCGCGAUGUCUCACGGAGCCGGGCUCGUCCGCACCACGGCCAGCAGCGGCGGCGGCGGCGGCGGCGGCGGCGGCGGCGGCGGCCCCCGGCCCGGCCCGGCCCCGCCCACCUUGGAAGGACCGGACCGGGGCUACACCCGCUCCUCCUCGGCCAUGCUCAAGAUCGGACAGAUGAUCACCCUGCUGAUUGGUUUCAUAUGCGUGAGGAGCUCACCAUGGACGGACUACAGUACAUACAGUUACUAUGAAGUGGUCACCAUAUGCGACUUGCUGAUGAUUCUUAUCUUCUACCUAGUCCAUGUUUUCCGAAUUUACAAAAUGCUGACCUGCAUCAGCUGGCCCCUUGCGGAAUAUCUUCAUUAUUUAAUCGGUACGAUCCUCCUUCUGAUUGCGUCCUUCCUGGCAGCUUUGAAGAGUCACAACAUAAGCGGACUUGUAGCCGGAGCGGUCUUUGGCUUCUUUGCUACCUUCCUCUGCACUAUGAGCAUAUGGUUAUCCUACAAGAUCUCCUGUAUUACCCAGGCAACGGGCCACGCUGCUUCCCUAAGAGGAUGGUAAGAGGAUGAGAGCCCAAGGAGGAGCCAGUCAACAAAACUGAGAAGGAACAGAGAGAUGCAGCUGCCUGACUGGAUCCUUGCCUCAAGAUACUCAAGUCCACCGAGGGAAAGCCGCCUGGCCCAGAAGGGGACACGUACCUGAUGGGCUGACUCACCUGGACGGGGAGGUCCCUCUGAAGACCAGCUGCAGAUGUGAAACGAAGAGGCUUUUUACCAAAGAUAGUGGUGCGAAAAUACUCUAAGCUGAUAAGAAUCUCUCUACAUUCCUUGAUCUUUGCUGAGACUUGCCAAGAUUCUCCCAGGAUUCUACUGGUCUUCCUCUCACCUCUUGCCCACAACCACCAUCUCCAUCCCAACUACUGCACAUCAGUCAUCUCUGGACAGAGGACUUGGUAGCUGCUUUUAUUGCUUCUGCCUUUUGCCACCUCAGGCUAAUUGCAAGACAGUUGCUCAAGGAGCUAGAAGAGGAGAUGCAGGAUUUGUCGGGGGCUUUCCUUGAAUGUUACUGUGCAGACUGUACUGUCUUCUGCCCCUGUGGUGGAAGAAGAGGUGGCUUGCUUCUGGUUCUUGUUGGGCCAUACCCAAAUGGUGCACUUGCAAUUUCUCAUGGAAAUUGUCAAUGGGCUGCAUGGGUAGGUAUGUAUGAGGAAAAUGGAAAGGCAAGAAGUGCACUCCAAUUGGGGCAGCAAAUGCUGCUUUCAUCCUGAAAUUGGCCAUAUGUCCAUAGCAUUCAGUUCUGAGUCCAGCUGUGGAGAAGAGCCCUCCAUUCUUCUCUCCCUCAGCCUUUAUCUCCCAUCUUUUCCUCUUGCUCACUUCCAGAUAUUUGCCUGACCUCAUCUUUGCUUUUCAGUAUUUGAUGUUUGGGGUUUUUUUCCUGCAAAAGUAAAACAUUUCAGCAUGCAACAGCCUGCAGUGGCAGAAUGGCAUUUCUCAGCCCUAUCCUGCAGUCAAGCUGAGCGGAUCCUUCUGUUCACUGUCCUGGAUGUCAGUGCUUUGCCAGUUUGAUGAAGUGAAAAUGGGAAAACUACCAUUCUUGUAAAUGUUGCACACGUUUCCCAAUUGUUGUAGGAAACUGUUUUGUAAUUAAUAGAGACUAUUCAGUUGUGCCUUAAAUAUCGUAGUCCAAGUUUGCUUUGUAACAACAUAUUUUGGCAAAAUG